CUACUGAAAUACAGACUCUCAACAUCAUGAUAUCACAGAAAAAGGACUAGUACAGGCAGCAGAUCUGACAAGGGAUGCUGGGAUUUGUACUACAGGCUACAGGAUGAUGAUAAAAGCUUUAGACGGGCGCCGUCAUGGAGAAAGAAAUUUCGACCAAAGGAUGUUCGAGGUUUAAGCGCUGGCUCUGCAGAGACUCUCCCUGCCAACUUCAGAGUCAACUCCUCAAUGUCUUCACCUUAUAUGCAGCCAAAGAAAAUGCAGAUGGACGGCAAUGGGUCUGGAAUACAAAGACUGGAUUCCGCCACGGUUAGGACAUAUUCCUGCUAACGAUGUCUAUUGUUUACCCACACUUCUUCUACCGAUGAUUAUGCAACGUUGGAACGUGACGUGAUUUUACAUUUCCAGACCCGGGAGAGAUCUCACUACAAAAAAAAAAAAAAAAAUCAAACGAACUGUUCAGACACUUUGAGAUAUUUUAAUACAGAGUUUUUAAUUACCGAUUAAAAUUCUAGUUAGGGUAAAGAUUUUAGAGUCUACUGUUUGUUAUAUUUCUGUAACUUCAUUUUUCCAUGUACCAUUUGACUCCCCUGUAUCCGUGAUCCACUGUCUCAUAUGUGGGUUUUGUUUUUUUGUUUUGUUUUUUUUAAAGAAAAAUUCUUAACCCUUCCCCCUUUCGAACGUACUAUAUCUCCACCUCGCCGAUUCCCUGCCGGUCAUCACAUUACUUUGUAAAUGAUUCUAGUGUUGUAAUUUUUGGAUUUAAUAUUGAACCCAAGCAACAUUAAUUAUAUUUGUACAGUCUUAUUAGACAGAGAAAUGUUAUAUUGUAAUUGUAAAGGUAUUACCUGGUACACAGAUCCCCAGCUUUUUAACUCCAGUCUAAGGAUUCAUUUAUAUGAGGCGGAAGCCAGACAAUCGCUUCUUUUAAGGCUCAUUAGGUUUAUGGCACACGGAGCUGCUUUUGUCGGCUGUAGUCCGGGGCUUUUAUAUGCUGAAGCAAGGUCACCACUAGGGGGCGCUAUAAACAGCGUUUGCUAUGGCAAGUCUUAAAGGAGACAUAUCUAAAAAAAACAAGAAUGUACCGGUGCAUUUGACUCUUUUAGAUCUAGAAGGAAUGUACU